rnacentral:misc_RNA from 1 species
GAUGAAGAACGUAGCGAAAUGCGAUAAGUAAUGUGAAUUGCAGAAUUCAGUGAAUCAUCGAAUCUUUGAACGCACAUUGCGCCCCUUGGUAUUCCGAGGGGCAUGCCUGUUCGAGCGUCAUUAUAACCCCUCAAGCUCAGCUUGGUGUUGGGGCCUGCUGCACUGGCAGCCCUUAAGAUCAGUGGCGGCGCCAUCUGGCUCUAAGCGUAGUAAUUCUUCUCGCUAUGGAGUCCUGGUGGAUGCUUGCCAUCAACCCCCAAUUUUUCUAUGGUUGACCUCGGAUCAGGUAGGGAUACCCGCUGAACUUAAGCAUAUCAAUAAGCGGAGGA